rnacentral:rRNA from 1 species
GAACGGGUGAGUAACACGUGGGUGAUCUGCCUCGCACUCUGGGAUAAGCCUGGGAAACUGGGUCUAAUACCGGAUAUGACCACGGAUCGCAUGGUUUGUGGUGGAAAGAUUUAUCGGUGCGAGAUGGGCCCGCGGCCUAUCAGCUUGUUGGUGGGGUAAUGGCCUACCAAGGCGACGACGGGUAGCCGACCUGAGAGGGUGACCGGCCACACUGGGACUGAGACACGGCCCAGACUCCUACGGGAGGCAGCAGUGGGGAAUAUUGCACAAUGGGCGAAAGCCUGAUGCAGCGACGCCGCGUGAGGGAUGACGGCCUUCGGGUUGUAAACCUCUUUCGACAGGGACGAAGCGCGAGUGACGGUACCUGUAGAAGAAGCACCGGCCAACUACGUGCCAGCAGCCGCGGUAAUACGUAGGGUGCGAGCGUUGUCCGGAAUUACUGGGCGUAAAGAGCUUGUAGGCGGUUCGUCGCGUCGAUUGUGAAAACUUGCAGCUCAACUGCAAGCUUGCAGUCGAUACGGGCGGACUAGAGUACUUCAGGGGAGACUGGAAUUCCUGGUGUAGCGGUGAAAUGCGCAGAUAUCAGGAGGAACACCGGUG